CCCCUUUCCAGCAAUCCAGUAUGAGUACCUCUCUCAAUGACCUUGCCCUCUUGCAGCACAAGUAUCUCGUUCGCCCUGACAAUGGUGGACAAACGGUGGGCAAUGAUAAAAGUGGUUCUCUUCCUGCUCAACUUUUUCAACGCACCCUGAAUUUCUGAUUCAGUCUCGGAGUCAACAGCGCUAGUUGCCUCAUCUAAGAUUAGUAUUGGCGGAUCUUUCAAGAAGACUCUGGCGAUUGCCAACCGCUGCAGUUCACCUCCUGACAGCUUAACACCCAGCUCUCCGACCUGAGUGUUAUAGCCCUCUGGGAACGUGAGAAUAUUGUCAUGGAUAGCUGCUGCUCGGCAAGCAUUGUAAAUCUCUUCAUUAGAAGCAGAAAGUUUAGCAUAUCGGAGGUUUUCCAUGAUUGUUGUAUUGAAUAGAAGGGGGUUCUGUGGAACCACUCCGAUGACGUCUCGCAGCGAUCUUUGAGUCACAUCACGGAUGUCAUGGCCGUCGACCUUGAUGUGGCCAGAAGUAACAUCGUAAAACCGGAGCAGAAGCUUCAUGAGCGAUGAUUUUCCCGACCCAGUAGCGCCAACUAACGCAAUAGUCUCUCCAGGUGCAGCGGAGAUACUUACAUCCCUGACCGCAGUUCUCUUGGAAUCAUAUGUAAAGUUCACGUGUUCAAACUCUACUGCGCCCUCAACUACGCCAAGAUCGGGAGCUCCGUCCUUGUCUGCAACGGUGGAUUUGGUCGUGAGCAAGUCGAGCAACCGCUCCGCAUCAACGAGGUCCGACAUGAGAUAUCGGUAUUCGUGAGAGAGAAAUUUGAUGGGCCAAACCAGGUACUCCCAGUACUGAAUCAAAAAGACAAGGUCUCCUGGGGAGGCACGUCCCUCGUAGACUUCAUGGGCGACAAGACACGCAAGGAGGAAAAAUGUGAACGGCAUCAUCGCCUCUGUCAGCGCCUUAAUAUAGGCAUCUCGCGUUGACCAGUCUUUCUUCGCUACGAGAUGCCUGUCCACAGCACAACCGAACUUAAACUUCUCGUGGUCAAACAUGCUGAACAACGACACGGUUUGCCAACCUUGAACAGCCUGGUGCAUGACCCGAGCCUCCUGCCUCUGUGCUUUGGUCAUCCGCCGACGGUUAUCAAUGUUCCAGCCGGAUGUUAUCACUUCAAGUGAAAGAAACAUGAGUGAGGAGAAGAGCAUGCAAAUGGCAACGGAGGGGUUAAAUUUAAGAUACAGGAAGACAAAGGCAAUAAACAUGUCGACAAUAGUGGGAAGAAUCUCUAAAAUAGCUGUCUCAAGGACCCUGGUCAGCGCGUCCCCUUGCUCGAUAGCCUUCAUAAUUUCCGCAGAAUCUCUGCCCGAGUGGAACUCCAUUGCCAAACUCAUGACGUGGUUGAAGGCGGUGCUUGUGAGCUGCCGGUACGAGAAUUGCUCCACUGGGAUUUUUGAGAGCGCUUCAAUAAGGCCGACACCAGAGUCGUCAUGCAACAGGCUCAGAAUCAGGUAGAUAGAUAGAUCGGCAUAUGGCAACUGCCGUGAGAGAAGCUUGUCGGUUACGAUUCCAAGCUGGCGGGGAACUAAGAUGUUCAGCAAACGGUUGGCAAUCAGGCAAAACACGCAGGUAAAAAGGCAAGCCUGGACCUUUAAAUCCCUUUUGGGGAUCAAACACGGGAGAAAAACCUUGAACUUGUUGAGGUAUGUUGUCCAAUUCCCCCUCUUGCGAAGCUGGCCUAUCCGAGAGUCCCUGCGACCACUAUCUUCAUCACUAUCGUCUCCAUCUGAAUCGCAGCCGCCAUCUCCCUCACUAGAAAAAUAACCUUCUCCACUGGCAGAUCGAGAUAACACGGACUCGGUGCCGUAGGAAGCUUGGCUUGUUGCAGGUUCGCCGUCCUCAUUGAUGAGGGGCACGGUGUCCUCCGGUCCAAAUGUCUUCUCACGGCUGGCAAUGUAACCGACGAGAAAACUUGCAACAAUGAGUAGUCGAAUGGAAGCGAUAGUCAAUAAUGCCGUGUAUUCGACAGCCGCCCCAUGAUACACUGCAUUCAGUACCAGGAUAGGAAUAGCAAACCCGAGUGUGAUUGAAGUAAGACCAAGGGUUCCGGGAAAGAGGAAAGUCUUUCGCAAGUGCGCAAACCAUGCUAAACCAUAGAAUACAGCGGCAACAAAUCGAUCUGCCGUGAUUUCAUCGCGAUGGAGAGAAAUAAGAACUAUUUCGACAAUGUAAGAUAUAGCGACAACCGACUUCCCAACUAACCGCAGAGCGGUUUCUCCCGAGCCCUGCAACCUGGGAGACGAUUUUUGGCCAUAAUUGAAAACGAAGGACGCAAUGGUGAAAAGGAGUAUAGUUGCCGUAGCUAUGACAUACAGCACCUUGAGGACCUCUGAAACCUGAACCAUUGUUACACUUCCAGCUAGAUUCUCACGCCAGCAUUGUGCUGAUGAUGGUUCAUUCGGAGGAAUCCCAGUGAGAAUAUAUUCCUAGAUCUAGCUGUCUGGAAUGAAUAACACUGCUUCAUGGUCUAUGGGUCACAGUGACUCACUUGUUAUACCGAUAAACCGCGGGCUUGGGAUAACAGGUCAUCGUACGGCUGGAAAUCGUGGGCAUACAAUUGGGCGCGCGCUGGGUGACACUGGAUGUUGAUCCGAUUCAGCUGAAACCAACAAUGAAUGACGGGAUGCCAAGAUGAAUGAGUUCAAACAGAUUGUCAACAGAAAACAGAAUAUUUUCUAAUAGUUUUCAUACACCACUCAAAAUCACUGUAGAUCCAAAGCUAGAAGUAGUUAAUACUUCUCAAGGACAAUUAAUGACUAAAACCUACCUGAUUUGAAAUGGAAUUUCCAUUCUUCAACUACUGUGAUCAAUGAGAGCACUGAGCAGAAAUGCUUUUGUAAGGCAGAGGCUGCUACAGUGCUGCGUGCAACAUG
rnacentral:sRNA from 1 species